rnacentral:rRNA from 1 species
CAUAUCAAUAAGCGGAGGAAAAGAAACCAACAGGGAUUGCCCUAGUAACGGCGAGUGAAGCGGCAACAGCUCAAAUUUGAAAUCUGGCCCUCGGGUCCGAGUUGUAAUUUGUAGAGGAUGCUUUUGGUGCGGUACCUUCCGAGUUCCCUGGAACGGGACGCCAUAGAGGGUGAGAGCCCCGUCUGGUUGGAUACCAAUCCUCUGUAAAGCUCCUUCGACGAGUCGAGUAGUUUGGGAAUGCUGCUCUAAAUGGGAGGUAUAUGUCUUCUAAAGCUAAAUACCGGCCAGAGACCGAUAGCGCACAAGUAGAGUGAUCGAAAGAUGAAAAGCACUUUGAAAAGAGGGUUAAACAGUACGUGAAAUUGUUGAAAGGGAAGCGCUUGUGACCAGACUUGGGCAUGGUUAAUCAUCCAGCGUUCUCGCUGGUGCACUUGGCCUGCCCAGGCCAGCAUCAGUUCGGUGCGGGGGAUAAAGGCUUCGGGAAUGUGGCUCCUCCGGGAGUGUUAUAGCCCGUUGUGCAAUACCCUG